ACUCGUCCUCUGGAUUGAUAUUGCGUGAAGAGGCCUGAAUCUGUUGUGAUCGACAAUGGAAUUGUUCAAGUCACUUUAUCCAAGCCAGGUGGUUUUGUCCUUGCAGUAAAAUAUAAUGGAGUUGAGAACAUACUGGAACCUAAAAAUGAUGUAGAUGAUCGUGGUUACUGGGACAUUGUUUGG